UGGGGAGUACGGCCGCAAGGCUAAAACUCAAAGGAAUUGACGGGGGCCCGCACAAGCGGCGGAGCAUGCGGAUUAAUUCGAUGCAACGCGAAGAACCUUACCAAGGCUUGACAUGAACCGGUAACGCCUGGAAACAGGUGCCCCGCUUGCGGUCGGUUUACAGGUGGUGCAUGGUUGUCGUCAGCUCGUGUCGUGAGAUGUUGGGUUAAGUCCCGCAACGAGCGCAACCCUCGUUCUAUGUUGCCAGCACGUGAUGGUGGGGACUCAUAGGAGACUGCCGGGGUCAACUCGGAGGAAGGUGGGGACGACGUCAAAUCAUCAUGCCCCUUAUGUCUUGGGCUUCACGCAUGCUACAAUGGCCGGUACAAAGGGUUGCGAUACUGUGAGGUGGAGCUAAUCCCAAAAAGCCGGUCUCAGUUCGGAUUGGGGUCUGCAACUCGACCCCAUGAAGUCGGAGUCGCUAGUAAUCGCAGAUCAGCAACGCUGCGGUGAAUACGUUCCCGGGCCUUGUACACACCGCCCGUCAAGUCACGAAAGUUGGUAACACCCGAAGCCGGUGGCCUAACCCCUUGUGGGAGGGAGCUGUCGAAGGUGGGACUGGCGAUUG
rnacentral:rRNA from 8 species